AGCUAGUGUGGCAUAGUGGUUUGAGUAUUGGACUAAGGCUCUGGAGAACAGGGUUCAAAUCUCUGCUUGGCCA